rnacentral:rRNA from 1 species
GUGGGGAAUAUUGGACAAUGGGCGAAAGCCUGAUCCAGCCAUGCCGCGUGUGUGAAGAAGGUCUUCGGAUUGUAAAGCACUUUAAGUUGGGAGGAAGGGCAGUAAGUUAAUACCUUGCUGUUUUGACGUUACCGACAGAAUAAGCACCGGCUAACUUCGUGCCAGCAGCCGCGGUAAUACGAAGGGUGCAAGCGUUAAUCGGAAUUACUGGGCGUAAAGCGCGCGUAGGUGGUUUUGUAAGUUGGAGGUGAAAUCCCCGGGCUCAACCUUGGAACUGCCUCCAAAACUGCAUGACUAGAGUACGGUAGAGGGUAGUGGAAUUUCCUGUGUAGCGGUGAAAUGCGUAGAUAUAGGAAGGAACACCAGUGGCGAAGGCGACUACCUGGACUGAUAAUGACACUGAGGUGCGAAAGCGUGGGGAGCAAACAGGAUUAGAAACCCGUGUAGUCC